GAUACCAUCUCACACCAGUUAGAAUGGCAAUCAUUAAAAAGUCAGGAAACAACAGGUGCUGGAGAGGAUGUGAGAAAUAGGAACACUUUUACACUGUUGGUGGGACUGUAAACUAGUUCAACCAUUGUGGAAGUCAGUGUGGCGAUUCCUCAGCGAUCUAGAACUAGAAAUACCAUUUGACCCAGCCAUCCCAUUACUGGGUAUAUACCCAAAGGACUAUAAAUCAUGCUGCUAUAAAGACACAUGCACGCGUAUGUUUUUUGCAGCACUAUUCACAAUAGCAAAGACUUGGAGCCAACCCAAAUGUCCAACAAUGAUAGACUGGAUUAAGAAAAUGUGGCACAUAUACACCAUGGAAUACUAUGCAGCCAUAAAAAAUGAUGAGUUCAUGUCCUUUGUAGGGACAUGGAUGAAAUUGGAAAUCAUCACUCUCAGUAAACUAUUGUAAGAACAAAAAAACAAACACUGUAUAUUCUCACUCAUGGUUGGGAAUUGAACAAUGAGAACACAUGGACACAGGAAGGGGAACAUCACACUCUGGGGACUGUUGUGGGGUGGGGGGAGGGGGAGGGAUAGCUUUAGGAGAUAUACCUAAUGCUAAAUGAUGAAUUAAUGGGUGCAGCACACCAGCAUGGCACAUGUAUACAUAUGUAACUAACCUGCACAUUGUGCACAUGUACCCUAAAACUUAAAGUAUAAUAAUAAUAAAAGAAAAUUAAAAAAAAAGAGUGUGAGAUAAUGGUUGAAGGAACUUAAGGUUUGACCAGGCCUAAUAUAUUGAUAUGGGCUCACUACACAGAGAUUCUGCAUUUAAUGUUGGAGCUAUGGGAGCUAGAGUUCUAAUAGUUUGCUUUCAGCAGGCAAGGCUAGCAAUAUACCUUUACUGUUUUAUCUCAGGGGUCUAUCAACUCUUUAGCCCUAUGUCAUAGUUCACAGGGAUCCUGAUUGUCUUUCCCUUCCACAAGAUGAGUCACACUGGUCCAUUACAUUGAUGACAUUAUGCUGAUUGGACCUAGUGAGAGAGAAGCACCAAUGACUCUAUGACAUUUGUGUGUCAGAGGUUGGGAAAUGCAUCUGACAAAAGUUCAGGGGCCUUCUACCUCAGCGAAAUUUCUAGGAGUUCAGUGGUGUGGAACAUGUGACAAUAUCUCCUCUAAAGUGAAAGACAAGUUGUUGCAUCUGGCCCCUCUUACAACCAAGAAAGAGACACAACACCUGGUAGGCCAUUUUGGAUUUUGGAGGUAAUGUAGUCCUCAUUUGGGUGGGUUACGGCAGCCCAUUUACCAAGUCACUGAAAAAGGCCCAGAACAAGAGAAAGCUCUGCAAAAAGUCCAGGCUGCCAUGCAAGUUGCUGUGCCAUUUGGGCCUUAUGAUCCAGCAGAUCCAAUGCUGCUUGAAGUGUCAGUGGCAGAUAGGGAUGCUGUGUGGAGCCUUUGGCAACCUCUAGAGGUGAAUCACAGCACAGGACCUUAGGAUUUAGAGCAAAACCUUGCCAUCCUCCAUGGAUAACUCUUCUCCUUUUGAGAAAUAGUUCUUUCCCUGCUACUGGGCCUUUGUAGAGAUUAAAUGCUUAACCACCGGCCACCAAGUUACCCUAAGACCUGAGCUGCCCAUCAUGAAUUGAGUGUUAUCUGAGCCACCAAGCCAUAAAAUUGAAUGUUCACAGAAUCAGUCAUCAAAUGGAAGUGUUAUACACAACACCAGACCUGAGAAGCCUCUGAAGGCAUAAGUAAGUUGCAUGAAGAAGUGGUCCAAAUGCUCAUAGUCCCUCUCUUAUUUCACCAUCUUCUGUUUCCUAGCCAACACCUAUAGCCUCAUGGGGAAUUUUCUACACUCAGUUGAUAGAGGAAGAGAAGACUACAGCCUGGUUUACAGACGGUUCUUCAUCUGAAAGCCCCUUUCUGGAGAACUCUUAAAGAACAAUGGUGAAGGGCAGUCCUCCCAGUGGGCAGAACUAUGAGCACUGGACUGGUCUAUCACUUUGCUUGGAAGGAGAAGUGGCCAGAUGUGCAAUUAUAUAUCAAUUAAUGGGCUACAGCCAAUUGUUUGGCUGUAUGGUUAAGGACUUAGGAAGAAGAUGAUUGAAAAAUUGAGGAAAAGAAAAUUUGGGAACAGUGGUAUGGAUAGAACUCUCUGAAUUGACAAGGAAGAUAUUUGUGUUUUAUAUGAACACUCACCAUAGGGUAACCUCAGCAGGGGGGAAUUUUAAUAAUCAAAUGGGUAUGAUAACCCAUUCUGUGGAUGCCAGUCAGCCUCUUUCCCCAACCACUCUUGUCAUCACCCAAUGGGCUCAUGAACAAACUGGCCAUGGUGGCAGGGAUGGAGGGGAUGCAUGGGCUUGGUGACAUGGACUUCCGCUCACCAAGACUGACCUUGCUAUGGCCACUGCUGAGUGCCCAACCUUCCAGCAGUAAGGACCAAUACUGAGUUCCUUAUAUAGCACCAUCCUUCAGGAUGAUCAGCAGCUACCUGGUGGCAGGUUGCUUACAUUCCAUCAUGUAAGGGACAGAAUUUUGCUCUUACUGGAAUAGAUAAUUACUAUGGAUAUGGAUUUGUUUUUCCUGCACGCAGUGCUUCUGCCAAAACUACCAUCUGUGUUCUUACACAAUGCCUUACCCACAAUGAUGAUAUUCCACACAGCAUUGCUUUUGAUUAGGAAAUUCACUUUACAGCAAAUGAAGUGCAGAAAUGGGACCAUGCUUAUGAAAUUCACUGGUCUUACAAUGUUCCCCCCCACCCUGAAGAAGCUGGCUUGAUAUAGUGAUAGAAUGGCAUUUUGAAGACUCAAUUACAACACCAGCUAGGCGGCAACAUGUCAUGGGGCUGGGGGAAGGUUCCUCAGAAGGCUUUAUAUGCUCUGAAUUCAUGGCCAAUAUAUGGUGCUAUUUCUUCCACAGCUGGAAUUCAUGGGUCCAAGAAUCAAACAGUGGAAAUGGGAGUGGUGGCACUCACUAUUAUCCCUCACAACUCACCAGCAAAAUUUUUCCUUCUUGUUCUCAUGACCUUAUUCUUUGCUAGCCCAGAGAUCUUAGCUCCAAAAGGAGUAUGCUUCCACCAGGAGUCAUAACAAUGAAUCCACCGAACUGGAAGUUAAGAGAGCUGCCCCACCACUUUGGGCUUCUGGUGUCUCUGAAUCAGCAGGCAAAGAAGGGAGAUACUGUGCUGGCUGGGGUAAUUGAUCUUGAAUGCUAAGGGGAAAUCAGACUCCUCUACUACAGAGGUUAAGGAAGAGCAUGUCUGGAAUACAGGAGAUCUGUUAGGACAUCUCAUAGUAUUACCAUGCCCCAAGAUUAGGAUCAAUGGAAAAUGACAACAACCCAAUCUAGGCAGGUCUACUAAUGGCCCAGACCCUUCAGAAAAGAACGUUUAUAUUAUCCCGCCAGGCAAAGAACCAAAACCAGCUGAGGUGCUUGCUGAAAGCAAAGGGAAUACAGAACAGUUAGUAGAAGAAGGUGUUUACAAAAGCCAGCUGUGACUAUAUGACCAGUUACAGGAACAAAGACUGAAAUUGUCAUGAGUAUUUCCUUAUUUUAUUAUAAAUAUGUUUCUCUGUAUGUGUAUAUAACAAAUAGCUUGGUUUUCUUUUUCUUUCUUAUUCUGUUAUCAUGUAACAUAAAUUGUAUUGACUUUAUAUCAUAGUAUUUAAGCAUUAUUAAUUAUGCAUCAUAUGAGAUAUCAAGGAGAAAAGUAAACAUCACUCAAGGACUUAACCUCCUCUUCUGGGGAAGAGGUUAGUGUGAUUUUAGUUGAAUGCAGGAUAAUUGUACUAUGUCAGGCAGAAUUAUGACCUUGUUAUUGUCUUUAUUUGGAGAUUAAGUACGAUUUAGGAAGAUGUGUAUGGGUGUCAAGUUGACAACAGUGGACCUGUGAUGGUUCAUUUUAUGUGUCAACUUGACUGGAUCACUGGGUGCCCAGACAUUUGGACAAACGUUAUUUUGUUGUAUCUGUGAGGGUGUUUCCAGAUGAGAAUAAAAUUUGAAUUGAUAGACUGAGUAAUACAUAAUGCUUCCCUAAUGUGUGUACUCCUUAUCCUAUCAAGUGAAGACUUGAAUAAGAACAAAAAGGUACGGAAAGAGGUAACUCCUGCCUGACUUCUGGACUGGUAUAUCAAAUUUGUCUUUUCAGCUCAAAAUGAAACCUCAGCUUUUUUUGUUUUCAGAUCUUGCCAGCUCUUGGACUGGAACUUACACCAUCAAUUCUCCUGUUUCUCUAGUUUGUCAACUGCAAAUCUUGGCACUUAGCAUCCACGAUUGCAUGAGCCAAUUCAUUAUAAUAAAUAUCUGUCUCUCUUGGUCUGUCUUUGUCUCUCUCUCUCUCUCUUUCUCAUACAUGUACAUUUACACACACACACACAUAUCCAUACAUAUCCAUCCAUCCUGUUUAUUCUGUUUCUCUGGAGAACCCUGACUGAUACAGCCAUAUAAUUGGAAUAAUACAGUAUGUAUUACUUUCAGGCUGGCUUCUUUUAAUUAGCAAUAUGCAUUUAACUUUCCUCCAUGUUUUUUCAUGGCUUAACAGCUUGAUUCUUUUUACCAUUGAAUAAUAUUUUAUGUGUGCCUGCACAAUGUUUGUUUAUAGAUGCACCAUUUUGAGUAAUCAGAAUUCUUUGGGAUGUUCUAUGUAGGCCACCACAUCAUCUGUGAAUAAACUAGAAAACUAAAGAUGUUUUUAUACCUUC
rnacentral:lncRNA from 1 species